UACGUAGGUGGCAAGCGUUGUCCGGAUUUACUGGGCGUAAAGAGCGCGCAGGCGGUCGUUCAAGUCGCGUGUGAAAGCCCCGGGCUCAACCUGGGAACUGCAGUUGAUACUGUCCGACUAGAGUACGAGAGAGGGAGGUAGAAUUCCAUGUGUAGCGGUGAAAUGCGCAGAUAUCAGGAGGAACACCGGUGGCGAAGGCGGGUCUCUGGGCCGAUACUGACGCUGGAGGAGCGAAAGCGUGGGGAGCGAACAGG
rnacentral:rRNA from 1 species